CGAGGGGGCGGCCUAAAACAUGCAAGUCGAGCGGAUGACGGGAGCUUGCUCCUUGAUUCAGCGGCGGACGGGUGAGUAAUGCCUAGGAAUCUGCCUGGUAGUGGGGGACAACGUUUCGAAAGGAACGCUAAUACCGCAUACGUCCUACGGGAGAAAGCAGGGGACCUUCGGGCCUUGCGCUAUCAGAUGAGCCUAGGUCGGAUUAGCUAGUUGGUGGGGUAAUGGCUCACCAAGGCGACGAUCCGUAACUGGUCUGAGAGGAUGAUCAGUCACACUGGAACUGAGACACGGUCCAGACUCCUACGGGAGGCAGCAGUGGGGAAUAUUGGACAAUGGGCGAAAGCCUGAUCCAGCCAUGCCGCGUGUGUGAAGAAGGUCUUCGGAUUGUAAAGCACUUUAAGUUGGGAGGAAGGGCAGUAAGUUAAUACCUUGCUGUUUUGACGUUACCGACAGAAUAAGCACCGGCUAACUCUGUGCCAGCAGCCGCGGUAAUACAGAGGGUGCAAGCGUUAAUCGGAAUUACUGGGCGUAAAGCGCGCGUAGGUGGUUUGUUAAGUUGGAUGUGAAAAGCCCCGGGCUCAACCUGGGAACUGCAUCCAAAAACUGGCAAGCUAUAGUACGGUAGAGGGUGGUGGAAUU
rnacentral:rRNA from 1 species